AUGAUGUUGUUACUUAUUUCAGCCCCAAACCAUGAUUGUAGAAUAUAUGCAUUUAUUUUCUUUAUUACAGUAUUAACAAACUCUCUUGUUGAGUUCAUUAAGAAACAAGUCAAAUGGAAUUGUCAAAGCAUUGGCAUGGGUGACAGUAUCUAUAUCUUGCAACAGGAACAGUUUUUGUCAUACUCAAAUAAUCAUGUUAUUAAGGCGAAGGCUGUAGUACUAGAGUUUGGUUUUAUAUUUAUAUCCAUUUAUGAAAUGUCAUGUCAUUUUUUAUAA